CAAUCUGGACUUUUUUUUUACCGUCAUAUCCAUCAAAACGACCAGUAGCCAUCAACCUACUGCAGCGAUCGAUUCGUUUGCUUAUUCUCACGCAUAAGCCAAUACUCAGCUCACUAGCAAAGUGUGUUCUCCGAAGCACCGUCUGUCACUGACUGAACUUCAGGCCACAUUUUGGACAAGAGUGUGGGGUUUUUGUGGCAUGAAUAGAAGUGAGGAGAUAUAUAGCUGAACUCUGUGAUUUUGACUCGAGGUGACAGCUGAAAAGCACCAGAAACCUUUGGAAUUUCAGAUCUAUAUAUUACUAUAAAGGAAGAAAAUAAAGUUC